rnacentral:lncRNA from 8 species
AUGGUGACCAGUGAGAUAUACCUGCUGGAGCACGUGCUGUGGGUGGGUGUUGUUAUGGUGACCAGUGAGAUAUACCUGCUGGAGCGCGUGCUGCGGGUGGGUGGUGUUAUGGUGACCAGUGAGAUAUACCUGCUGGAGCGCGUGCUGUGGGUGGGUGUUGUUAUGGUGACCAGUGAGAUAUACCUGCUGGAGCGCAUGCUGUGGGUGGGUGUUGUUAUGGUGACCAGUGAGAUAUACCUGCUGGAGCGCGUGCUGCUGGUGGGUGUUGUUAUGGUGACCAGUGAGAUAUACCUGCUGGAGCGCGUGCUGCGGGUGGGUGUUGUUAUGGUGACCAGUGAGAUAUACCUGCUGGAGCGCGUGCUGCGGGUGGGUGGUGUUAUGGUGACCAGUGAGAUAUACCUGCUGGAGCGCGUGCUGCGGGUGGGUGUUGUUAUGGUGACCAGUGAGAUAUACCUGCUGGAGCGCGUGCUGCGGGUGGGUGGUGUUAUGGUGACCAGUGAGAUAUACCUGCUGGAGCGCGUGAUACGGGUGGGUGGUGUUAUGGUGACCAGUGAGAUAUACCUGCUGGAGCGCGUGAUACGGGUGGGUGGUGUUAUGGUGACCAGUGAGAUAUACCUGCUGGAGCGCGUGAUACGGGUGGGUGUUGUUAUGGUGACCAGUGAGAUAUACCUGCUGGAGCGCGUGCUGCGGGUGGGUGGUGUUAUGGUGACCAGUGAGAUAUACCUGCUGGAGCGCGUGAUACGGGUGGGUGUUGUUAUGGUGACCAGUGAGAUAUACCUGCUGGAGCACGCGAUACGGGUGGGUGUUGUUAUGGUGACCAGUGAGAUAUACCUGCUGGAGCGCGUGCUGCGGGUGGGUGUUGUUAUGGUGACCAGUGAGAUAUACCUGCUGGAGCGCGUGCUACGGGUGGGUGGUGUUAUGGUGACCAGUGAGAUAUACCUGCUGGAGCGCGUGCUGCGGGUGGGUGUUGUUAUGGUGACCAGUGAGAUAUACCUGCUGGAGCGCGUGCUGCGGGUGGGUGUUGUUAUGGUGACCAGUGAGAUAUACCUGCUGGAGCGCGUGCUGCGGGUGGGUGUUGCUAUGGUGACCAGUGAUAUAUACCUGCUGGAGCGCGUGCUGCGGGUGGGUGUUGUUAUGGUGACCAGUGAGAUAUACCUGCUGGAGCGCGUGCUGCCCGUGGGUGGUGUUAUGGUG